GUAGGUGGCAAGCGUUGUCCGGAAUUAUUGGGCGUAAAGCGCGCGCAGGCGAUCCUUUAAGUCUGAUGUGAAAGCCCACGGCUCAACCGUGGAGGGUCAUUGGAAACUGGGGGACUUGAGUACAGAAGAGGAAAGCGGAAUUCCAAGUGUAGCGGUGAAAUGCGUAGAGAUUUGGAGGAACACCAGUGGCGAAGGCGGCUUUCUGGUCUGUAACUGACGCUGAGGCGCGAAAGCGUGGGGAGCAAACAGGGAUUAGAUACCCUGGUAGUCCACGCCGUAAACGAUGAGUGCUAAGUGUUAGGGGGUUUCCCGCCCCUUAGUGCUGCAGCUAACGCAUUAAGCACUCCGCCUGGGGAGUACGGCCGCAAGGCUG
rnacentral:rRNA from 1 species